ACGUGACUCUGGAGAGGGCCCUUAAGUGGGACGCCGAAGGUGAAAACAGACGUUGAGUAAGAAGUCUGCAAAUCUCUCAGGCAAAAGGACAGAGACA
rnacentral:ncRNA from 1 species